UAUCCAAAUAAAUAACAUCAGUUUGACAGUGAUCUGAGAGAGAAGAGGUGAUGGUGAACAGAUGAGUUAAGAGCUGCUGAACAGUAGAGCAGUGCUUUAAAAAAGCCAAAUUGGUUGGAGCAGAUCUGAGAAGAUAAAUGAGAGUAUAUGUGAUCAAAAAUUAGGCGUUCAAAGACUUUGGAGAUGAUGCACAGUAAAGAGAUUGGUCGAUAGUUCUUUAUUUGAGAUUUGUCCCCAGACUUGGGAAUCAGUAUGAUCUGAUGAACAUGCCAUUCAUUUAUGGGAGGUAGGAUUGAACCAAGCAUUGUGUGAAUAGAUGGUGUAUUGGUUACUAUGAUGAAAGAUCGGACAGCUCUACUCUAACUCCGAAAAAACUGAAUUCACAUUUGUCAUUAAGAAUGUUUAUUGUGUUUGGAUUGUUGAUGGGAUGAUGAA